GGAACUUCGAGUGUGAUUGCGGAGCAACUGCCAUCAUUCGCUCUGGGAAAUCGUGCUUCCGCCGACUGCAAGGACAAUCUUCCCUGUGUGUCGAGUCUUUUGUUUAACUUUGUUAAGCUGGGACAG